UUAACAUACAAUUGUGCUAUCUAAGACCUAGGAAUCAACACCCUUUAUCUUGUUCCCUGUCUCAAGUCCCCCCUUUUCUUUAUCCAAAGCAAAUUCUUUUGAUUAUAACAAUCGUUCUUGAUUCAAAGUUUUCAUCAAAUUCUUACCAGUUUCCACUUGGGGCUUGUUUCGGUUACACUUCCAGCUUUCAUAAUCAUCUAGUCCUUUCAUACAGCACCAAAACGCACACUGCACCAAUACACAGGUCAAGAAUGCUACUCUUACCAAGAAGAUAGGAUU